rnacentral:sRNA from 1 species
CUGCGUUAAGGAUAGAAGUGGCAUCCUUUUAUAUGUUAGUUCGAGUAUUUCGAUUUUUUUUUUUUGAAAUCGAAAUAUAUCGAGAACCAUAAAAAAGAUAUAGCGGAUAGCCUGACCUUUU